GAUGAACGCUAGCGGCAGGCUUAACACAUGCAAGUCGGGGGCAGCACGUCUUCGGAUGGUGGCGACCGGCGCACGGGUGCGUAACGCGUAUACAACCUACCUUAUAGAGGGGAAUAGCCCAGAGAAAUUUGGAUUAAUGCCCCAUAGUAUUAUUGAAUAGCAUUAUUUGAUGAUUAAACAUUUAUGGCUAUAAGAUGGGUAUGCGUUCUAUUAGCUAGAUGGUAAGGUAACGGCUUACCAUGGCGACGAUAGAUAGGGGUCCUGAGAGGGAGAUCCCCCACACUGGUACUGAGACACGGACCAGACUCCUACGGGAGGCAGCAGUGAGGAAUAUUGGACAAUGGGCGAGAGCCUGAUCCAGCCAUGCCGCGUGCAGGAAGACGGCCCUAUGGGUUGUAAACUGCUUUUAUACGGGAAGAAACACUCCUUCGUGAAGGAGCUUGACGGUACCGUAAGAAUAAGGAUCGGCUAACUCCGUGCCAGCAGCCGCGGUAA
rnacentral:rRNA from 1 species